rnacentral:rRNA from 1 species
GACGAACGCUGGCGGCGUGCUUAACACAUGCAAGUCGAACGGAAAGGCCCUGCUUGCAGGGUACUCGAGUGGCGAACGGGUGAGUAACACGUGGGUGAUCUGCCCUGCACUUCGGGAUAAGCCUGGGAAACUGGGUCUAAUACCGGAUAGGAGCCAUUUUUAGUGUGACGGUUGGAAAGUUUUUUCGGUGUAGGAUGAGCUCGCGGCCUAUCAGCUUGUUGGUGGGGUAAUGGCCUACCAAGGCGGUGACGGGUAGCCGGCCUGAGAGAGUGGACGGCCACAUUGGGACUGAGAUACGGCCCAGACUCCUACGGGAGGCAGCAGUGGGGAAUAUUGCACAAUGGGCGCAAGCCUGAUGCAGCGACGCCGCGUGGGGGAUGACGGCCUUCGGGUUGUAAACUACUUGCGCUAGGGACGAAGCUUUUUGUGACGGUACCUAGAGAAGAAGCACCGGCUAACUACGUG